UACGGGGGGAGCAAGGCGUUGUUCGGAUUUACUGGGCGUAAAGGGUGCGUAGGCGGCGCUGCAAGUGCCUUGUGAAAUCCCAUCGCUUAACGAUGGAACUGCUCGGUAGACUGCAGUGCUUGAGGUUGGUAGGGGCUGCCGGAACUCUGAGGUGGAGCGGUGAAAUGCGUAGAUAUCUAAGAGGAACGCCCAAGGCGAAGGCAGGCAGCUGGGCCCAAUUCUGACGCUGAGGCACGGAAAGCGUGGGGAGCAAACGGG
rnacentral:rRNA from 1 species